rnacentral:rRNA from 1 species
CCGCGUGAGUGAAGAAGGCCUUCGGGUUGUAAAGCUCUUUCGCAAGGGAAGAAACGAUACAGUCUAAUAAACUGUGUUAAUGACGGUACCUUGAUAAGAAGCACCGGCUAACUACGUGCCAGCAGCCGCGGUAAUACGUAGGGUGCGAGCGUUAAUCGGAAUUACUGGGCGUAAAGCGUGCGCAGGCGGUUUUGAAAGUCAGACGUGAAAUCCCCGGGCUCAACCUGGGAACUGCGUUUGAAACUCCAAAGCUAGAGUAUGGGAGAGGGGGGUAGAAUUCCACGUGUAGCAGUGAAAUGCGUAGAGAUGUGGAGGAAUACCAAUGGCGAAGGCAGCCCCCUGGCUUAAUACUGACGCUCAUGCACGAAAGCGUGGGGAGCAAACAGGAUUAGAUACCCUGGUAGUCCACGCCCUAAACGAUGUCUACUAGUUGUAGGGAAGAGUCAAAUCUCUUUAGUAACGCCAGCUAACGCGUGAAGUAGACCGCCUGAGGAGUACGGUCGCCAGA